CAGGAGGUCUUUCAUUUUUCUGUUUAUGUUCUUUGGCUGCAAUGCAGCAGUGUGUAUCCUCAGUAAACCAUCUCCACUUUGCUGUCACUCUAAUGGGGGAGAGAGAGAAGGAGGAGAGGAAGAUAUAUGUACUUUCUUGCCAGCUUUCUGCUCUAGCUGUCUCAGAUCUGGCUGAUUGUGCGCUACCUACAGAGAGAUGCAACCUAAACACUGGACAAAAAUCCAUAUUACAGAGAAAACGUUUAUACAAGACAGGUGAUGUGUGUAACAAAUAUGAAUGCAUUGGCUGUCAGCAAGCUCAGUUCUCACUGAUGCUGCUCUAGUGGAAUGGAAGAAGAGGGUAAGUACCUCAGGAAAACAAAACAGAACACAGCAAAGCAGAAAAAUCUUACCUUGCUGGAUGGUAUUUUUUGACCUAUUGUGUUUUCUGCUCUUAAGAAGCCAGCGAUUAACAGGAUUAACAUCAAAAAUCAGGAUUAACAUUUGAUGCGGCCAAUGCUGAUCAAAGGCUUUGCAUGCACUGAGGUGUCUGUGUCAGUCAUUAAAUGCCUGGUACCAAGGGAUGCCCUUGCAAGGUCUGAGUCUUUAACUCAGGUGUCACUGACUCUAUCUAUGCUGUGCAUGAAUGGCAGACCCCACCUUCAGAUUUUCCUGAUUUCCCAGCUGUCCUGGUUUCAGCUAAGAUAUUGUUAAUUUUCCUCCUAGUAGCUGGUAUGAUGCUGUGUUUGGGAUUUUGGAUGAGAAUAAUGUUGAUACCAUGCUGAUGUUUUAAUUGUUGCAGAGUAGCACUUACACUAAGCCAAGGACUUUUCAGCUUCUCACAGCAAGGAGGCUGGGAGUGCACGAGUAGCUGGGAGGGGACAGAACCAGGACAGAUGACCUGAACUGGCCAAAGUAGUAUUCCAUGCCCUGUGAUGUCAUGCUGAGUGAUUAAUAUGGGAUGGCUGGCUGGGCUGUGUGAGGUCCACUGCUUGGAUAUGGGCUGGGCAUUGAUCAGUGGAUGGUGAGCAAUUGCAUUGUGCAUCACUUGCUUUGUACAUAUUAUUAUUACUAUUAUCAUAAUUAUAAUAAUUUCUCUUCCUUUUCUGUCCUAUUAAACUGUCUUUAUCUCAACCCACAAGCUUUUACUUUCUUUUCCUGAUUCUCUACUCCAUCCCACUGAGAGGGGGAGAGUGAGCAAACAGAUGUGUGGUGCUGAGCUGCCUGACAGGCUAAACACUGACCAAGAGCUUUUCUGAGAAUGGAGAUUGCACAUUUUCACUUUUGCUAAUACAUUGCUGACUACAAAGGUAGGCAGUCUCUAACCAGAGCCAUGUUAGACAGGUGAGGGAGUGAAAGCAACCAUGAUUUUAGGAGGAUUGCUACAGAUAAAUGAGGCUUAUUGUGUUUCUGCUACCAGUGGGUAGGUACAGAAGGAAUACUAAUGCUGGAGAAAGGGGGAACCUUUUCCAGAAACAGAAAUUGUAAUCCCACCUGUUUUGUCAUUCCAGCAGAAAUAAACCUAGCAUCUCCAGACCA
rnacentral:lncRNA from 1 species